rnacentral:rRNA from 1 species
UACGAAGAGGGCUAGCGUUGUUCGGAAUUACUGGGCGUAAAGCGUCCGUAGGCGGAUCUGUAAGUGGAUAGUUAAAUCCCGGGGCUCAACCUCGUGGGUGCUACCCAGACUGCAGGUCUGGAGGUCGGCAGAGGGUGAUGGAAUUCCCGGUGUAGCGGUGGAAUGCGCAGAUAUCAGGAGGAACACCAAUAGCGAAGGCAGCUCGCUGGGACGUUACUGACACUGAGGCGCGAAAGCGUGGGGAGCGAACAGG